GAUGAACGCUGGCGGCGUGCCUAAUACAUGCAAGUCGAGCGAACGGACGAGAAGCUUGCUUCUCUGAUGUUAGCGGCGGACGGGUGAGUAACACGUGGAUAACCUACCUAUAAGACUGGGAUAACUUCGGGAAACCGUAGCUAAUACCGGAUAAUAUUUUGAACCGCAUGGUUCAAAAGUGAAAGACGGUCUUGCUGUCACUUAUAGAUGGAUCCGCGCUGCAUUAGCUAGUUGGUAAGGUAACGGCUUACCAAGGCAACGAUGCAUAGCCGACCUGAGAGGGUGAUCGGCCACACUGGAACUGAGACACGGUCCAGACUCCUACUGGAGGCAGCAGUAGGGAAUCUUCCGCAAUGGGCGAAAGCCUGACGGAGCAACGCCGCGUGAGUGAUGAAGGUCUUCGGAUCGUAAAACUCUGUUAUUAGGGAAGAACAUAUGUGUAAGUAACUGUGCACAGCUUGACGGUACCUAAUCAGAAAGCCACGGCUAACUACGUG
rnacentral:rRNA from 1 species